GCCUUUGGCCAAACCACCCUGAAAGCACCUGAUCCCAUCCAAUUUCGGAAGCUAAGCGGGUUGGGCUUGCUUAGCACUUGGGUGGGAGACCGCCUAGGAAUAGUGGGUGCUGUAGGCA
rnacentral:rRNA from 1 species